rnacentral:sRNA from 1 species
CAUUGAUGAUCAUCGCCUCAGCAUGGGCGGG